AGAAAUCCAGUGUGAGGCAAGAUGCAAAAGCCAUCAGCGCCCCAGCCGCAGCAGUCUGCAAGGGGCAGGACAGCUCCGUGCCGUGUGGCUCUGGGAUGGCAGUAAGCGAAGUUCAACACCUGCUGAAGGAAUGUGCAGGUUGGAUGUUAAUCUUUGGCAUGUUUCAGAGAGUUCAGAUAGAGAUCCCUGGAAAUGAGCAGGAAGGAGCCUGUGUGAGCUGACCUCAGCUAGCAGGGUGGCUUCACAUGUGGGGAUAGCAGUUCGCCAGAGAGAAACACAAGCUGAAGGCAAGUAAAUAACCUCUUCCCUGUGGAGUAUAACUCCAGCCUAAACCUGAACCUAACCUGCCCCCAAGGCAGGUCGGGCUUGAAAACCCUGCACACAAGACAUUAGGGAUUUCCAGCUACUUUUUGUGACUGUAAGCUGUAAUUCAGGCUGUAAGGCUUCAGCCUGAAUUUUUGAGAAUGUUUCUCUGCCCACAUAGUGCCAUGAAUAUGCAUGGUGUGGCAUAGCAUGCCUGAAUCUCCUGGGGUGAAGGUGAAUGGAGAAAGUGGAUCUAGUGCUGAAACAGCUGAAGAAAACGUGGUUGUUCCUGCAUUGGCUGUUGGCUAGACUAGUUGGGUCAGCCACAACUUGGAGGACAAUUAAUGGCCACCCUUGGCUGGUAGUAAGAUCAGUGGCUAAGCAGCGCUUAUAGGGCUAGUCAAUGACUGAAAUUCAGAUGCAGCCAUAAAGGUUAUUCAUUAAGCCUCUGCUUUUAAUCUCUCACUCUUUCUUUCAGCCAACAUAUUCCCUUCUAACCAGCCUCUCCGACCCUGAAGAGCUCUCAUCUGCUUUACUUCCAUGUGGUGAUAGGAGAGCUGCGUAAAACAAUUGUAAAAACACCCACAUUAACUGGCUCCUUGUCUAACCAAUCCCCAUCUGUUGCAACCCCUAGUGAUCGCAUUGCUACCCUAGACUCAUUAAACCAUUCCAUAUGGGAAGCCUUGCCAAGUACAUAACCUUGCCCACAACAAAGCCUAGACAAGGAACUGUGAUGUUAGGAAAAACAAUACAAAUCAAGACAACGGUUAACAUAUUGGGAGAACAUGUAAGCAGUCUGCCAGUUGUAAAUUGUAAAUUCCAGUUGCCCACCGUGUGGUGGGGAGAGAGGAAUGUGAGCAAUGCCAGCACACAUGCUCACAUCUCAGACCAUUUGCACCAACUGCUUUGACUCCUCUCAGUGCAAUGGUGUUUGCAUGUUACCUGCUGUUCUUUGUGUGAAGCAAGUUGAUUUGCACGAUUCAAGAUAAUAUAAGUCUGUACAUUUCUUACAUAGCUUUACAAACCCAGGGUGCCUGCAGCCUCCUGUGCAUGGCUUUACAAAUUGAUUUCAAGUCUCGACUUCCUAUGGGCAAUCUUUUUUCUUUUUCUUUUUUUUUUUCUCUCUUUUUUUUUUUUUUUUUUUUUAAGAGCACAGUCAUUAGCUCCUUAAAGUGCUUUCUCUGUUUUAUUGUUGUUUCCCCACACGUACACACUGCCUGAACUCUGCGUCUUGGCUCCCUGAAUAAAAUCCCUCUUGCAAGAAAAGCUCUAACACACCCUACUACAUUUCCCGUUAUUACAUAUGGCUUUCUUUUAUCCCAUGUAGCAUUUGAACUAACUCGGGCAGUGCAAAAAAAAAUAAUUCAGGUAACUCUAUCCAAGCUGUUUUAGGCUAGCUUUUGCCAUGGUAGGGUGAAAAAAAAUAAAAGAUGUAAUUACAUUGAGAUUUAGUGCUUGGUUAAGGGGCAGGAUCUCACAGGAAAUGCAGUAAGAAGGAAAAGCAAUUCCACUUUUGAAAACCAUAACCAAUGUUCCCUCCAAACCUUGCUGGCUGCCAUUUGCCUUCUGUUUUGCCAAUGUUUUUAUUAGUUACUUUGUAAAGGUGCCAAAGACACGAAGGAACCUGGAUUUUUUUUUUUAUUCCAAGUGUGAUUUAAGUCUCUCCUAGGUGUGAUGGUUGUGUAAAGAUUAUGAAAAGCCAAGCAAUGCCA